ACUCGUUGGCUCGGCUAUGGCUACCGAACCUUAUUACUAUAGCUCUCCUCCACCACCGUAUGAGUAUAAAUCUCCACCUCCUCCGGUUAAAUCUCCUCCACCGCCUUAUGAAUAUAAAUCACCACCACCUCCGGUUAAGUCUCCUCCACCACCGUAUUACUAUCAUUCACCGCCGCCGCCAGUGAAAUCCCCUCCCCCUCCUUAUGUUUACAGCUCUCCUCCUCCUCCGGUGAAGUCCCCUCCUCCCCCAUACUACUACCAUUCACCGCCUCCUCCGGUGAAGUCUCCUCCUCCUCCAUACUACUACCAUUCACCACCUCCUCCGGUGAAAUCCCCACCACCACCAUAUUACUACCAUUCACCACCUCCUCCGGUGAAAUCCCCACCACCACCAUACUACUACCAUUCACCUCCUCCUCCUGUGAAAUCUCCUCCUCCUCCAUAUUAUUACCACUCCCCACCUCCUCCGGUGAAAUCCCCACCACCACCAUACCUUUACAGCUCUCCACCACCACCGGUAAAAUCUCCCCCACCUCCUGUCUACAUCUACGCUUCUCCCCCACCUCCCACACAUUACUAGGCUCAUCAAAUUCAACAAAAUUUCCCCAUUAUUCAAGUAAGUCCUAUACUUAUACCUUUACCUCAUAAUCCGUUUUAAUAAUUGUGCCCUAAAUAAAAUCGGAAUUUCUUCUUUCACAGGUUU
rnacentral:lncRNA from 1 species